GGAUUUCACGAAAGAAGAGUCGAUGAAACUCCCAUUGACAGAAGGAAAACGCAAACAAAAUGAUACAAACCCAUCUACUUGCAUUUUCUCUUUUU
rnacentral:snRNA from 1 species